GACGAACGCUGGCGGUGUGCUUAACACAUGCAAGUCGAACGGUAAGGCCCUUUCGGGGGUACACGAGUGGCGAACGGGUGAGUAACACGUGAGUAACCUGCCCUCAUCUCUGGGAUAACAGUCGGAAACGGUUGCUAAUACUGGAUAUGAGCUUGCAAGGCAUCUUGUGGGUUGGAAAGAUUUUUUUGGUUGGGGAUGGACUCGCGGCCUAUCAGCUUGUUGGUGAGGUAGUGGCUCACCAAGGCUUCGACGGGUAGCCGGCCUGAGAGGGCGACCGGCCACAUUGGGACUGAGAUACGGCCCAAACUCCUACGGGAGGCAGCAGUGGGGAAUAUUGCACAAUGGACGGAAGUCUGAUGCAGCAACGCCGCGUGCGGGAUGACGGCCUUCGGGUUGUAAACCGCUUUCAAUUGUGACGAAGCUUUUUGUGACGGUAGCAGUAGAAGAAGCACCGGCUAACUACGU
rnacentral:rRNA from 1 species